AGAGCGAACGCUGGCGGCAUGCUUAACACAUGCAAGUCGCACGGGCAGGGGAAACCCUGUCAGUGGCGGACGGGUGAGUAACGCGUAGGUAUCUAUCCUUGGGUGGGGGAUAACGGUUGGAAACGACUGCUAAUACCGCAUGAUAACUGAGGUUUAAAGGCGCAAGUCGCCUGGGGAGGAGCCUGCGUACGAUUAGCUUGUUGGUGGGGUAAAGGCCUACCAAGGCGACGAUCGUUAGCUGGUCUGAGAGGAUGAUCAGCCACAUUGGGACUGAGACACGGCCCGAACUCCUACGGGAGGCAGCAGUGGGGAAUAUUGGACAAUGGGCGAAAGCCUGAUCCAGCAAUGCCGCGUGUGUGAAGAAGGUCUUCGGAUUGUAAAGCACUUUCGACAGGGACGAUGAUGACGGUACCUGUAGAAGAAGCCCCGGCUAACUUCGUGCCAGCAGCCGC
rnacentral:rRNA from 1 species